GCUGCCGUAGGCCUGCCACGCUUCUGAUCGCCCUCAAAAGGCGAGAAGACGCCCGGGUUCAAAUCCCGGCGGCCGCACCA
rnacentral:tRNA from 1 species